rnacentral:rRNA from 1 species
UACGUAGGGUGCGAGCGUUAAUCGGAAUUACUGGGCGUAAAGCGUGCGCAGGCGGCUUUGCAAGACAGAUGUGAAAUCCCCGGGCUCAACCUGGCAACUGCAUUUGUGACUGCAAGGCUAGAGUACGGCAGAGGGGGAUGGAAUUCCGCGUGUAGCAGUGAAAUGCGUAGAUAUGCGGAGGAACACCAAUGGCGAAGGCAAUCCCCUGGGCCUGUACUGACGCUCAUGCACGAAAGCGUGGGGAGCAAACAGG